rnacentral:rRNA from 1 species
GUUCGCGGCGUGCGCAUGGGCCGUGGCCUCUCAAUAACCAUAAACGACUCUCGGCAACGGAUAUCUCGGCUCACGCAUCGAUGAAGAACGUAGCAAAAUGUGAUACUUGGUGUGAAUUGCAGAAUCCCGUGAACCAUCGAGUUUUUGAACGCAAGUUGCGCC